CAAACCAGCGCCAGUCACCAGGUUCCUCCUAGGAUCCGCGCUUUUUCCUUGAGUACUCAGCUGACUUGCCAUCUCCUCCAGGCCACUCGGCAUCUACUUUCCUUUCUACCACUCAGGUCGGCCAGCCCAUCCCGAGGCUAACCCAACCACCAAUUACUUUCCCUCCCACUCCCAGAUCCUAAAUGCUGAGCGAGAGGAACGCGCCACGUGGAUCUCGUGCCAGCAGCCAGAACCAACAGGGUCCCUGUCUCGUCAAUCCCCGCGGCUCUGCUCCCGCCCUGGGUGCAUGCAGACGACUUGCCUGGUUAGGGUCGGUGGCUCGGAAAACGUGGCAGGCCAUCUGAGACUCGGGGUCGUCCGGUUGCGCCUUUAUCAGAGACACGUAAAGAAAAGUGACUUGGGCUAUAUCUGAAGAAGAAGCGUUUAAUUGGAAGUAGAGAAGUGGACACUUGGCCCACUCCUACUCUCCAGUGGCCGUGGUAUAAACAAUACACCCACAUGAAAGUGCCUCAUGAUCAGAGACCAGAAUGCUAAGCGAUCACUCUGCGGACAGCUGUCCUGGAAAAUCGCCAGAGACAAGACAGAUUCCUCACACAUACAUAAUAAACUUUUUUCCUCUUAA